UACAGAGGUCUCAAGCGUUGUUCGGAUUCAUUGGGCGUAAAGGGCGUGUAGGCGGCGCCGUAAGUCGGGUGUGAAAUUUCGGAGCUUAACUCCGAGACUGCAUUCGAUACUGCGGUGCUUGAGGACUGGAGAGGAGACUGGAAUUCAUGGUGUAGCAGUGAAAUGCGUAGAGAUCAUGAGGAAGACCAGUGGCGAAGGCGGGUCUCUGGACAGUUCCUGACGCUGAGGCACGAAGGCCAGGGGAGCAAACGGG
rnacentral:rRNA from 1 species